rnacentral:rRNA from 1 species
AAUCAACGCUGGCGGCGUGCCUCAGACAUGCAAGUCGAACGCGAAAGGUUUCUUCGGAGACCAAGUAGAGUGGCGCACGGGUGAGUAACACGUGGGUAAUCUACCCUUCAGGGUGUGGAAUAACCGCUGGAAACGGCGGCUAAUACCGCAUGAACUCUCGAUGAGAGAGCAAAGCCGGGGACCUCAGCAAUGAGGCCUGGCGCCCGAGGAGGAGCCCGCGGCGGAUUAGCUAGUUGGUGAGGUAAUGGCUCACCAAGGCCGUGAUCCGUAGCCGGCC